rnacentral:lncRNA from 1 species
AUUAUCGUAAUUAAUUACCGACAAAGAAACAAGACAAUGCCCUAAUCCUCCCUGAGUCCUUCAUCAGGGUCGAAGGUCCUCUCUCCAAUCCUCUUCAAGUCUUCCUGAUCAAAUCAAUUUUCACUGUCGAAAAUCAAAUCGAUUUCAGAACAAGAAUGGAUAACAGCGAAAACAACUCCCCGAGCUUGAUCUCUCGCGAGAAGCUGGAAGAGGUAGCAAGCUGGGUCAGCGCCACCGUCGUCUCCGCCUUCUUCUCAUCUCUGGAGCGCUGCUCUUGCGUUAAUCUCGCCACCACCGACCCCGAUGAUGACGACAAACCCGAAGAGGCCAAGGACCGCCCGCUCACCUACUCUUCAAUAUCGUCUCCCUCUCGCUAAAAGUUCGGUACUUGCCAUUACACGUAUUUUCUGUUUCUCUUGAUUUGGGGGUUUUUUGUAUACAAAAGAAAACUUUAAAUGUGGUGAAUUUGCUGAUACUUCUGAUUGAAUUUGAAUGCUUAUGUAAUAAAUGUUAAUUGUGUCUUUUUCUUUUUGGAUAUUCAAUGUUCUAAUCUUGUUGAUUAUUUUGUUUUCUCAAAAGUCAAAGCCCUAAAUCAAGAAAUGGAUCUUUAUUUUCUUGAAUUUGAUUUUAGGUUUUGUAAUAACUGCCAAAUUUUGUAUCAAUUAAAGGCAUUACUAAUUUGGAAUUCUUUUUUUUUUUUGAAGAAUUUUUGGAUAAUUCAAUUGGAAAUUUUUGAAUCGUAUACAAUGAAUUAAUGUUAUGAGGGCUGGGAAUUAGUUUCUUCAGUGCUUGAAAAAUCAUUCCGAAAGCUUUGGUGCACUUGCUAUAUAGAGGGUUUACCUUUUCUUUUUGUAGAGAGUUUACCUUUUCUUUUUAGGAUGUUUCAUUAGGAUAUGGUGGCAGUAACUGCCCAAAUCGCUUGCCGGUGAUUUAUAGUGUGCAGCUCUGGGAUUGAGCUCAUUGUUGGUUUGGCCUGGUUUCAGGGAACUCAUUGCUUGACCCUGGAGCAGUAGGCUUCAGCUGCUGUGCUUUGGUAGUAAUCAGUAGAGAGCUAUUUAGGGUCUUUAUAAACAUAUGGAUUCAGUGCUUGUAUUUGCAUGGCAAUUAGUCUUAACUUUCAACUUCAUGCUUCUCAAACACAAUAAAAUGUCUUCAACGGCACUGGUCUCUCCUUUUCUCUCCUUUUGUUUUUCACUAUUAAGAAAGGAAAAUGAAAAAUGAAAAUCAAGACAAUUUCUAACUAGGCAAAGAUAAAGCAAUAAGUCCUGCCUAUCUUCGAAGGGAACAGUACUUUGAGUGCAUUUCAAAUCUUGUCAGGGUUGACAAGGGAGCUUAAUAUUCCACUUCUUGUGCUUGCAUGUCUAUGUAUUACAAAAAAAUGCAGUAAACUGACCUGUUAUUAGCCUCAGGAACUCAGUAGGUACAACAGAACCUGUUAUAGAUUUACCAUGCUUCGUGCAUGUACCAAUUUGUUAAUGAUCUCAACCUAAUAUGUUGUCAUUAUAUUUGCUGUUAGGUCUUUCUUCCUCAGUCAUCUUCAUUUUUUGAAUGCAGAUAUCUGUACUCUGAAAUAAAUAUUUACUCAAGAAAUAUGUAGGUAUCACAAAGGAUUAGUCUUACUCUCUUCUUCAGACUGUACAAUCUUAUAUUCACUUUCUAAGGAAAAUAUACCUAACAAGUCAUGAUUAGAUAGAUGCAGGUAAGUAUGCUCAUCAUAAAGAAGCCUUUAUUUUGCUGAGAAAGAAAAAGUAGAAAAUGGAGAGAGAGAGUGUGUAUUUUGCAUUGCCUUCUUUAGCAUUUCUAGCAAGUGAACCUCUCUAUAUAGCCCAUGGUUUCUAAAUUUUUACUAGUAGUGCCACAAUUUUGUUGCAAUCUAAUGCCUAAAAUAACAUCUAGCAUGAAUAUUUUACUUUACCGAUGAUUUUUGUCUCCAUGAUCCCUCCAACAAAGCAGCAUGUACACACAACGGCGAAUUAUGUACAACCUUGCUCUCUUACCCUUCAAAAUCUUACUCUUUGGCACCUGAACAGUGGCUUGCUUUUGUGGAGACAUUUCCAUCAACCUGUUCUGGUUUUGCCUUUGCUGCAACACUUUAUGUCGUGUUAUCUGAUUAUAUAAUAAGUAUCCUCCUUUAGUUAUCUCUUUCUACAGCAGUUAUUAGAGUUCAUUUCAGUUUCCUUUGAAGUCAGUAAAUAAUUGGUGAAACCAGGAGCAGCUAAGACCUCAAGACUUGACUCUGCUUUUGCAUUGAACCAGGGACCCGGUUUUUGGCACUUAAGUAGUUGAAUAUUGGUUUGUCACCGGAUUUCCAGGUUAUGUGUCCCUUGAUCCAACCUGGAUAGUGCACUUUUUCCAGGAAUUAUUGCCAAAAGGACUAAUGGAGGACAUAACGUUCUAGAUAAUUAAACAGUUGAAUACAGGAUUACUUUUCUCCUCUUUACUCGACCAGUAGACUUGUAUAGGUACUGGUACACUCUAAGCUCAGCUGGUGUUUGUCUUUCUGGGUUAUGAUUGCUUUUCCAUAGUAUUAAAUUUUAAAUGUGAAUGGCCUCUUCUUGGUCAUAAAUUAUUGUAGUAUAUAUAACAGAACUCAAUGCCC